rnacentral:rRNA from 1 species
GAUGAACGCUGGCGGCGUGCCUAAUACAUGCAAGUCGAGCGAACAGAUGAGGAGCUUGCUCCUCUGACGUUAGCGGCGGACGGGUGAGUAACACGUGGAUAACCUACCUAUAAGACUGGGAUAACUUCGGGAAGCCGGAGCUAAUACCGGAUAAUAUAUUGAACCGCAUGGUUCAAUAGUGAAAGACGGUUUUGCUGUCACUUAUAGAUGGAUCCGCGCCGCAUUAGCUAGUUGGUAAGGUAACGGCUUACCAAGGCAACGAUGCGUAGCCGACCUGAGAGGGUGAUCGGCCACACUGGAACUGAGACACGGUCCAGACUCCUACGGGAGGCAACAGUAGGGAAUCUUCCGCAAUGGGCGAAAGCCUGACGGAGCAACGCCGCGUGAGUGAUGAAGGUCUUCGGAUCGUAAAACUCUGUUAUUAGGGAAGAACAAAUGUGUAAGUAACUAUGCACGUCUUGACGGUACCUAAUCAGAAAGCCACGGCUAACUACGUG